UAUGGUCUGAAUUUCAGUAUGUUGUUAGACAAUAUCCCUGUUCUGACAACGUUUAAUUUCACGCAAGAGGUCCGAGUUUUACACUUGACCUGAACCAAGUUAGCUGUCAUAAAUAACCCCAGCAGUAGUUUUUAAAGCUUUGAGAAAACAUAAGAAACUAGUCUGUGGUGCUCAGCAGACCAGAGUAAUAUGGUGUUUGUCAGUUUUACACUUGACUCGAACCAAGUUAGCUGUCAUAAAUAACGCCGGCCGCAGUUUCUAAAGCUUUGAGAAAAUGUAAGAAACCAAUUUAUGGCUCUCAGCAGACGAGCAAAAUUCAUUAGUGAAAAUUGGACACCCAAAGUACUAUUAAUAAAAUUUCAUUAGUAAAGCAUCGAGAAGAUGCAAGGUUACAGAUGGGCAAAAAGCUGCUUCAAACAAAACAUGAAGCAGACUUAGCAAAAACAUGUAGAACAAUCUAAAGAUAUCCCAUCUCUACUGUACUAGAGAAAGGGAGCUAAAAAUCCAAAAAGUUAUCCACACCGUUUACAGGGGCAAAAAAAUUCCAACUGAAAAGACUAACUAAACACCUAGACUUUAAAGUGCAUAUAGGAGUAGAGAUUCCAUCAAAGCAUCUACUGUUUCUCUCCUUCCAUAGGGUCCAAAAAAUUAUUGCUGGGAUCAUUCUCCAGAUUCUUUUGAUGGAUUUGUCAACUCUCCAGAGUAUCCAGUUAGCAUAGGCAUCUUUGAUGUUGAAGGGCAUUACCAUUGGAGACCAAGCAUAGAAUAGAAGAAAUACCAAAGGCUAGCUGCUGCAGGGCAGUGCAAAAAUAGAUGGUUGACACUUUCAUUGGUCUGCUUGCACAUGGCACACAUCUUAACGACGAUUACACCUCUCCUCCUGAGAUUGUCUUGUGUUAGGCAUGCUUCCUUCAAUGCAGUCCAAGUGAAGCAAGUAACUCUGAGAGGCUGUCUGGUUCUCCACACAAGCUUCCAAGGCCAGACCUCUGAAAGGCUAUUUUGAGAACUCCAGUUGUUGUAGCAUUCCUUCACAGUGAAAAUCUUUCCUUAGAAUUGCCCCAGAGGAUUCUGUCCUGAGAUUCUGCCACCAAAGUACUUUGUCCCAAUCUUUCUAAGAGAGAGAAAAUCAUCAACUUCCCAAUCCUGUAAGUUUCUCCUUAAAAUUGGUGUCCAACAGUUGUUAUCUCUAUAUUGAGCUAAUGUUGCUUCUUUGUUAGAAGCUAUCAGAAAUAGUGAAGGAAAUAAGUCUUUUAAUAAAGUGUCCCCAAGCCAUUUGUCCUGCCAAAAUCUGAUCUUGAACCCAUUUCCAGCCUUGAAUGAGACAUUCUGGAAGGAUUCCUCUUGGAGACUACUGAUGUGCUUCCAUACUCCAACACCAUGUGGUUCAUUGCUUCUCUUUGCAGUCCAGUGGUCUUGAAUACCAUACCCUGCCUCAUUUUGACCAUAUCUCCAAAGCCACUUCAUGAGUAGGCUAUUGUUAUGAAGCUUAAGAUUUCUGAUUCCCAGCCCCCCUUGGCCUUUGGGUUGAAUAACUGAUUUCCAUUUGACCAAAGAGAAUUUGUGAGUAACACUGUUACCUUCCCAUAGGAAUUUCCUUCUGAGCCUGUCAAUUUGCUUUAGAACUGAGCUUGGCAUAGGGAAGAGUGACAUACAGUAAGUGGGAAUGCUGUCUAGGACACUGUUGAUGAGGGUGAGCCUACCACCCAAUGAGAGGUAUUGCAUCUGCCAAGUGGCUAGUCUUUUCUCCAUUCUUUCAAU